rnacentral:pre_miRNA from 1 species
GUUGCAGUUUCAUUUUGUGACCGACACUAACGGGUAGUAACGGGUUAACAAAGUCGUUUUUCUGGCCUUUUACUCGUUUUUGCGAUCACAAAUUCUGAAAUUGCA